AGAGUUUGAUCAUGGCUCAGAGUGAACGCUGGCGGAGUGCUUAAUACAUGCAAGUCGAGCGAGAAAGGUCUUCGGACUGAGUAGAGCGGCGAACGGGUGAGUAACACGUAAAUAACCUGCCCCCAAGUUCGGGAUAACCUUUCUAACGGGAGGCUAAUACCGGAUGUGGUCUAGAUGUCACCUGACGUUUAGAUUAAAACUACGGUGCUUGGGGAUGGAUUUGCGGACUAUUAGCUAGUUGGUGGGGUAAUGGCCUACCAAGGCGAUGAUAGAUAGCCGACCUGAGAGGGUGAUCGGCCACAUUGGGACUGAGACACGGCCCAGACUCCUACGGGAGGCAGCAGUAGGGAAUAUUGCGCAAUGGACGAAAGUCUGACGCAGCAACUCCGCGUGGAGGAAGACGGUCUUCGGAUUGUAAACUCCUUUUAUGAGGGAAGAAAAAAUUAAAAUUGACGGUACCUCAUGAAUAAGCAACGGCUAAAUACGUGCCAGCAGCCGCGGUAAUACGUAUGUUGCAAGCGUUACUCGGAAUCACUGGGCGUAAAGCGUACGUAGGCGGACUAAUAAGCCAGGAGUGAAAUUUUGGGGCUCAACCCCGAACGUGCUUUUGAAACUGUUAGUCUUGAGUAUAUGAGGGGAAGAUGGAAUUCCUGGUGUAGCGGUGGAAUGCGUAGAUAUCAGGAAGAACACCGGUGGCGAAGGC
rnacentral:rRNA from 1 species